rnacentral:snRNA from 1 species
GUGCUCACUUCGGCAGCACAUAUACUAAAAUUGAAAUGAUACAGAGAAGACUAGCAUUGCUCCUGCACAGGAUGACAUGCAAAUUCAUGAAGCGUUCCAUAUUAAA